rnacentral:ncRNA from 1 species
CACUCCGAGGAGCGUUGCAACGGAUGCGGUAGGCAGUUCAGUGCCACCCCAUGCAUCCGCCAGGCUCGGACUGUCUCAACGGCGCUCGCUGAUC